CUUCUCAUAGAGCUUCUUCUCUCGGUUUUCUUUUGGAGCUGCUCCACCUGUCGACGUCUGUUGUUUUUUUCAGAUGUGUGGCGGUUAGACUUUCUGACCUGUUUCUUGUCUUUUAAGAGCAAACUUAGUUUUUCCUGCAGUUUGAUGUUUGGUUUAAAAGAUGUUCCUGUGUGUUAACUUAAAUGACUCUAUUGGUAUAGCUAAAUUUUCCAUAGUUUUCUUUGCCGAACCCUCUUGCUGGUAACAAGGAUGUUUAAAGAUGCACACUCCACUCAUCGUGCUUACCAAAGGAACAUGCAGA